UGUUCUGGUGGACUGUACGGGCAACCUUCGGGUUGGCCGGUUCGUCUUGUGUCCGGUUUGCUACCCCGUACAGCCUGCCGCCUCC
rnacentral:antisense_RNA from 1 species